ensembl:lncRNA
CUGACUUUGAUGUGCAGACGUGAAACUGUGGGCGCUUUCUUCCUCACUCUGUCACUGCGCUGCUGUCUGACCUUCACACUGAUCCUCUGCAGCUCACCUGCUCUUUGACACCCUCUGACUCUCACAGGAACAAAUGUAAUCGCAUGGCAGGAUGCUGUGAAAGGACCAAACUUCAGCCAGGAGAACAACUGAGAUAAUCCAUCCACAAUACGAGUGACUGACAGCUGAGGGGGCGGAGCCUGCAGCCAUGUUGGUGGUGGUGUGGUUACUGAUGAUGAUGAUGAAGAGUGACGCUGGCGCUGCAGACAUCAUCAGAGUGUCUGCCAACAGCAGCACGAGAGUCAUGCUGGCCUCAGGCCUGCAGGGGGACCCGAGGGCACGCGGGUACGACGUCAGGUGGACUCAGAUCCCUCACCUGCUGCUGAACUGGAACCGGAGCACGUGCUCCCACGGACGCUGCUCGAUGCUCCCUGACGGC